GACGAACCGUACGAACGUUAUUCGGAAUUACUGGGCUUAAAGGGUGCGUAGGCUGUGCGGAAAGUUGGGCGUGAAAUACCUCAGCUUAACUGAGGAACUGCGUUCAAAACUACCGUGCUCGAGGGAGACAGAGGUAAGCGGAACUGAGGGUGGAGCGGUGAAAUGCGUUGAUAUCCUCAGGAACACCGGUGGCGAAGGCAGCUCGCUGGGACGGUACUGACGCUGAGGCGCGAAAGCGUGGGGAGCGAACAGG
rnacentral:rRNA from 1 species